rnacentral:rRNA from 1 species
GACGAACGCUGGCGGCGUGCCUAACACAUGCAAGUCGAGCGAGUUGAUUCUCUUCGGAGAUGAAGCUAGCGGCGGACGGGUGAGUAACACGUGGGCAACCUGCCUCAUAGAGGGGAAUAGCCUCCCGAAAGGGAGAUUAAUACCGCAUAACAUUGUAGCUUCGCAUGAAGUAGCAAUUAAAGGAGCAAUCCGCUAUGAGAUGGGCCGGCGGCGCAUUAGCUAGUUGGUGAGGUAACGGCUCACCAAGGCGACGAUGCGUAGCCGACCUGAGAGGGUGAUCGGCCACAUUGGGACUGAGACACGGCCCAGACUCCUACGGGAGGCAGCAGUGGGGAGUAUUGCACAAUGGGGGAAACCCUGAUGCAGCAACGCCGCGUGAGUGAUGACGGCCUUCGGGUUGUAAAGCUCUGUCUUCAGGGACGAUAAUGACGGUACCUGAGGAGGAAGCCACGGCUAACUACGUGCCAGCAGCCGCCGUAAAAC